rnacentral:rRNA from 1 species
AUUGAACGCUGGCGGCAUGCCUUACACAUGCAAGUCGAACGGCAGCACGGGGCAACCUGGUGGCGAGUGGCGAACGGGUGAGUAAUGUAUCGGAACGUACCAUUGAGUGGGGGAUAACGUAGCGAAAGUUACGCUAAUACCGCAUAUUCUCUCCGGAGGAAAGCAGGGGACCGCAAAGCCUUGCGCUCUUUGAGCGGCCGAUAUCAGAUUAGCUAGUUGGUGAGGUAAAGGCUCACCAAGGCGACGAUCUGUAGCGGGUCUGAGAGGAUGAUCCGCCACACUGGAACUGAGAAACGGUCCAGACUCCUACGGGAGGCAGCAGUGGGGAAUUUUGGACAAUGGGGGCAACCCUGAUCCAGCCAUGCCGCGUGAGUGAAGAAGGCCUUCGGGUUGUAAAGCUCUUUCGGCCGGGAAAAAAUCGCAUGGGCUAAUACCCUGUGUGGAUGAUGGUACCGGAAUAAGAAGCACCGGCUAACUACGUGCCAGCCGCCGCGGUAA